rnacentral:rRNA from 1 species
GAUGAACGCUGGCGGCGUGCUUAACACAUGCAAGUCGAGCGGAAAGGCUCCUGCUUGCAGGGGUACUCGAGUGGCGAACGGGUGAGUAACACGUGGGUGAUCUGCCCUGCACUUCGGGAUAAGCCUGGGAAACUGGGUCUAAUACCGGAUAGGACCACAUUUUGGAUGGUGUGGUGGAAAGUUUUUCGGUGUGGGAUGAGCUCGCGGCCUAUCAGCUUGUUGGUGGGGUAAUGGCCUACCAAGGCGUCGACGGGUAGCCGGCCUGAGAGGGUGUACGGCCACAUUGGGACUGAGAUACGGCCCAGACUCCUACGGGAGGCAGCAGUGGGGAAUAGUGCACAAUGGGCGCAAGCCUGAUGCAGCGACGCCGCGUGGGGGAUGACGGCCUUCGGGUUGUAAACUCCUUUCGCUAGGGACGAAGCGCAAGUGACGGUACCUGGAGAAGAAGCACCGGCUAACUACGUG